rnacentral:lncRNA from 1 species
UCUCUGAUCCAUCCUCGCCUGCAGGGCAUCCUGAGCGGUCCUCACCUCUCGAAGGUUACCUAUAAUGGAACCCUGAGUGGCUUCAAUGAGUGCAAUGUGUUGCUGAAAACUUGAUGCAUAAUAUGAUAAAAUAAAAUAAAAAUAAAAGUAAAUAAAUGCGAAAAAGUAAAAUGAAAGAAAAACCAUGGGUUGCCUCCCAC